rnacentral:lncRNA from 1 species
AAUUUUUUUCUAAAAAAAAGAUUGAACAAGAUUAUGUGUUAAACAUAAUUAUGGGUCGGUAUACUGAUUGAAAAUUCAAUCUAAGUAGAAGGUAAAGACACGGCUGAAUGGUUGCAACUGAAAUACGGUUUUAUACUCUCUGCGUUUGGUUCGAAAACUAAAUUCUGAAAAGUAAGUUUUGUUGUUCCCGAAAAUAAGAAAUAUUUCUAUAUAAGAUAGAAUAAUGAUAAAUUUGCAUUUGGAUGCAUUCAGAGAUAUUUUAAAAGAUAUUCUUAAUAGCGUAGAGAUAAUAAGUCUAGAAAAAUAAUUAUUUGUUAAAAAAAAAAUUUAAAAAGAUGAACAAGAUUAUAUGUUAAACGAAGCUGUGGGUCGCUAUACCCAUUGAAAAUUCAAUCAAAGCGGAAGGUAAAGACACAACCGAACGAGUACAACUGAAACACUGUUUUAUACUCUUUCGAGCCGUUUGGUUCGGGGUUAAGGAAAAACUAGUUAUUUCAGGGAUAGGAUUAAGUUCAGGGUUAAGGUGGAGUUAGAAUAUUUUUGUGUUUGGUUGAGAGUUAGAAUUGGUUCAGAAUAGUGAAAAAUAGUGUUUGGUUUGAGUAUGUAGGAUACGAAAAAUAGCGGGUUAUUAUGAAUAGAAAAUAGUGUUUUGUUGGGGUUUGGUGGGAUUAGCUAACCCCACCCAAAAUAGACUAUCCUGGGUUUGGUGGGGUUAGCUAACCCACUAACCCAACCCAUUUUUUGGGGUGUUUGGAAAUAAUAUAGGGAUCAAAGGGUUAUUCCACUCCUUAACCCCGAACCAAAUAAAGUUUCGGUUCGACAACUAAAUUUUAAGGAAUAACUUUUGUUGUUCCUGAAAACAAUGAACAUUUGGAUAUAAACUAGAACAAUGAUAAAUUUGCUUUGAUAAAAAGUCUACAACAAUACCUAAUAUAUUUUAAAAAAUAAAUAAAUAAUUUAUAUUAGUAUAUUUUAUAUUAAAUUAUUUUAUGCAAUAAUUUAUAAUAUAACAUUUUAUAUAAUAAUUUAAUUUAUAUCAUAUAUUUAAUUUAUUUUAUAUAAUAAUUUAUUUUAUAUAAUUUAUUCAUGAUAUAUAUGUAAUGAAUAAAAUAUAAUACUAGCAAUAUCCAUAUAAUUUUAAUUAAUAAUACUAUAAAUGUCAACAGUCCGACUACUAUACUAUCGAUAGUACCAAGCACUUGGUGUUAUCAAGUUUUUUCGCUGUUAGAUCUAUCCUUUUGACCAUUUGCACUCGUUAGAUCAUACUAUCUAACCAACCGCCCAUUCAAUCCUAGGGGACCACUAUCAUCAUAACCGGAGACCACUAUCACCCUAAUCGCACAACCUUUCAUCCAAAGGCCGAAAACCUAAUAACACCAGGCACUUGGUACUAUCGAUAGUAUAGUAGCAUAAUUCAAAUUUCAAUACAAAUUUAAAAGAAA